UACGUAGGUGGCAAGCGUUGUCCGGAUUUAUUGGGUUUAAAGGGUGCGUAGGCGGUUUUGUAAGUCAGUGGUGAAAUACUCUAGCUUAACUAGAGGGGUGCCAAUGAUACUGCGAGACUUGAGUACAGAUGAGGUAGGCGGAAUUGACGGUGUAGCGGUGAAAUGCAUAGAUAUCGUCAAGAACACCGAUAGCGAAGGCAGCUUACUGGGCUGUAACUGACGCUGAGGCACGAAAAGUGUGGGGAUCAAACAGG
rnacentral:rRNA from 1 species